rnacentral:tRNA from 1 species
UAGCUCAGUGGUAGAGCGCUUGCCUUACAUGCAUGAGGCCCUGGGUUCGAUUCCUCAG